UGGGGAAUAUUGCACAAUGGGCGCAAGCCUGAUGCAGCCAUGCCGCGUGUGUGAAGAAGGCCUUCGGGUUGUAAAGCACUUUCAGCGGGGAGGAAGGCGUUAAGGUUAAUAACCUUGGCGAUUGACGUUACCCGCAGAAGAAGCACCGGCUAACUCCGUGCCAGCAGCCGCGGUAAUACGGAGGGUGCAAGCGUUAAUCGGAAUUACUGGGCGUAAAGCGCACGCAGGCGGUCUGUCAAGUCGGAUGUGAAAUCCCCGGGCUCAACCUGGGAACUGCAUUCGAAACUGGCAGGCUAGAGUCUUGUAGAGGGGGGUAGAAUUCCAGGUGGAGCGGUGAAAUGCGUAGAGAUCUGGGGGAAUACCGAUGGCGAAGGCGGCCCCCUGGACAAAGACUGACGCUCAGGUGCGAAAGCGUGGGGAGCAAACAGG
rnacentral:rRNA from 1 species